rnacentral:rRNA from 1 species
GACGAACGCUGGCGGCGUGCCUAACACAUGCAAGUCGAGCGGAGACAGUGAGUAGCUUGCUAUGAGCUGUUUUAGCGGCGGACGGGUGAGUAACGCGUGAGCAACCUUUCCCAGACAGGGGAAUAACACACCGAAAGGUGUACUAAUACCGCAUAAGACCACGGGAUCACAUGGUUCUGGGGUAAAAGAUUUAUCGGUUUGGGGUGGGCUCGCGUCCGAUUAGGUAGUUGGUGAGGUAACGGCCCACCAAGCCGACGAUCGGUAGCCGACCUGAGAGGGUGAUCGGCCACAUUGGGACUGAGACACGGCCCAAACUCCUACGGGAGGCAGCAGUGGGGAAUAUUGGGCAAUGGGGGGAACCCUGACCCAGCAACGCCGCGUGGAGGAAGAAGGUUUUCGGAUCGUAAACUCCUGUC